CGCGGCUUCUUAAAUCCGCCUCGAUUCCUUCCUCCUCCGCUCGCCUCCAGUUCCCCAAAUCCACCUUCCGCCGGCCCAAUUAAAUUAAUGGCGGAGAGAGAUGGCCGCCCACUUCCCUGCUCCCUCGCCUAUUACUUCCCCUGAUAUCGUCGGUCGCCCUACUCUCUGGUUCGCUUGGUGCAGGUCGGGAACCGAUCAGUCAUCGCGCCGCCUACGUCUCGGACGGCGUAGAAGCUCCAAGCUUCCUGCUACCCCUUGCUCGUUCGGUUCCCCACUUGCAUCAAGUGAAUUCGAGAGUAAUUGGCGAGAAAGGAAGCUCCUCGAUUGGAUUUGGGUCUUCGAUCGUUGGUGGUGUCUUCAGAUGAUCUAGCAAGUGGGGUUUUUUUGUUCUUCAUCUUGUACGAAGUAGACCUGCUAUCCCUAUUAUCAUCCUCUUUCAUCUAGAGAAAAAAACACGAUCUUGGUGUUUAUUUAUCAUUUGUGAUAUUUGGUAGUAAUUCUCAUUAACUCAGUAAUCUGGCACGUUAUUGUUCUUCAUCUUGUCGACUAAUUAAAAUUUAUUAAAUAGAAGAAAACUUCUUUCUUCUGGGCGAGAUUGGGAUUAGAAACGCUAGGCGACAAUGAAUCAAACAGCUAAAAUGUUAGUAGUAACAGGCUGGCCAGAUUAAAAAAAAAUGUGAUCAAUGGCAUCCGUGCUUUUCUCAGACUCUGACAACGAAGGAAUGAAGGUAUUAUUGUAGCAAAAGAUGUCCGUUCCAAAAAGUAAUGAAGAUACUGUGUGGCAAACAGUAGACACGUAAGAGUUUCGAUACCAAAAUCUUAUAUAGUAACACUCUUUUUAACCAUUGUACCGCCCGAGGGACCAGGAAUGAAGACAAAGUUGUUGGAAUCUUGUAGCUUUUUCAUAUGCUCAAAGGAGAAGGAGUGCUUUACUCUAAGAAGGUGAAAAAAAAACCCAAAACAUGUUAGUGGGGAGAUGGAUAACCCAGACUAAAUUGCUUCUCUUUCCAUUUCCAUCUAUUUUUGGAGGAACGAAUUUGAUGGAAGAAGGGAUUUGUCAUUUGUGGCAUCCUUCCUUUACUAUCUGCCAUUUUUUCUUCACUCUUUUUAUAUUUUUGUUCCUGGCCUGUCAACAAAAGUUUAAAAAUGGUGAAAAAAUGGGUUUGUUUUGUUGGAUACUGCCGGGAAAAGUUCUUGUCACUGAGGCAAAGUUACCCGCCUUGAUUUAUAUGGGAUUUUCUGUGCUUCGUGUUUGUAUUAUUGCGUCACGAACUUUUGGUGAUACAGUCAUGCGUGAUUGCGGGACGCUUACUAAUGGGCAAAAGCAGUCUGCAGUACUUUAGAUUAAUGAUCUGAAAUGACUUGUCUGGUAAUGUGGGAUCGUUGUCAGUGAAUUGAUAUUUUAAUCGAUAUAGGGUAACUGAAAGUUCAGACUAGCCGACAGAGGAUCGUCUCUAAUCUGGAUGAAUGUGUCAGGCCAACAUAGAAUAUAAUUGAACAUCUAAAUUCACAUACGGAUUUGUCUUGAUAUUUGAGGUUGAAUGUUUAUUUUUUCCUUGG